UCAUAGUAACAAAGAAAAUAGAAUCCUGGGAACUUUCCCCAAGAAGACAAUCACUCUUUGAGCCCAGAAAUCACAGGAAAUGUAGUUACUAAUCAUAUGGAUUUUUGCCUGCUAAACAAUGCUUUGAGAAUUAUAGGUUUGUCCUUGUAUAAUUCCUGAUCUAUAGACCCCAGAUCAAGAGUCUUCAGUCUCUAAGUUUUAAGAAGUAAUAAUCAUUGAGAGUAAAAGUCAACAAAAGUCAUCUGGACUUGUAAAGCUCUGCCAAGACCCCAAGAUUCUUCUUGCUUUGGAAAAAUGAUGCUGUCUGGGUAAACUUGCUAAAGAUCCUUGAUUAUCAUCUCCAUUUGCAAAAGCUCCUGAGAUUUUUCAUGAUACCUUUUGAAUGUCAUGGGAACUGAAGAUUUUGAAUAUGCCUAAAGGGUGUUUCAUUUGGAAAGACAAAAAAUCCUAACAGCUAUUUCUAAAAACAACAGUGAAGGUGUCUGAAAUAUUUCAGUGGAAGUACCAUAAAUGAUAUGCUUAUUUCAGAGCUAAUUAUUAGAAUCAGAGGACCUGAAUUUGAAACCUGGCUUUUUUUUUCCACUUAGUAUUCUGUCCAUGGUCAAGGUAUUCUGAGGAAAGGAAAGAAUCUAACAUGUGGUAGGCCAGUCAAGUCACUAUCACCACUUUGAUUACUCCUUUCAGACCCCAAUGGAGAUAGCCCAGGAUUCAAACAUGAGAGCCUUGAGAAUAGCAGUGCUUUCAGCCCUGUGCCCAUCCAUAGUCAUCAAUCUUCCUGGGAAGCAACCCCAUAGAGAUGCAGCUGGCAACUAGACAUGCACAUGCCACAACCACAUCUACUGAAGACCCAGAAAAGAAAUUUCUUUUCAGCAAAGUCAAUAUCAGAAAUUAAUAAAGUUUAGACUUGAAUUAUUUGGCCCUAGAGGACAGAUCAAUGACCAAUGGGAGGGAAGCUUCAAAGAAACAAAUUUGAGCUUACUGUCAAGAAAUAAUACCCAACAAUUCAAUCUGUUCAAAAGGGAAAUGGGUUUGCAGGAGAGAUUGGGAUUUCCUCCUAUUUGGCUAUCUUCAAAUAGAAGUUGAAUGACUAAUUGUGUGUGGGUAUGUAAUGGUAGGAAUUCCUUUUGAGUGUGGGUUGGACUAUUGAGGUUCCUUCCAUUUCAGACUGUGGUUCUGUUUCUCCAGAAUUUCUGACCUUUUCAUUUUACCAUGCAUGCUGAGAGAUAAAGAGAUGGAACUAAUGACUCUUCA